rnacentral:lncRNA from 1 species
AUGGAGGAGGGAGAGGUGGAGGAGGGAGGGGUGGAGAGGGAGGGGAGGAGGAGCAGUGAAAGGGAGGAGGGAGGGAGAGAGGGAGGGGGUGAGGGGCAGGCGCUCGCGGGGACAGGGCCUGGUGGCACGCGGCAGCCCCUGCAGUGCCGGCCAGGACCCCGCGGCUGGGGGAGGCGGGCCCUGCUCCACCCGUGCAGGGGUGGUGUGAGCGCCCCCCCCCCAGGGUCUGCCCUGAGCCGCAAGCGCCCUCUAGACGCAGGGUCUCGCCCCAGCUGCUCUGACCCGAGCAGGGGAGCGACCCCCCCGCCGCGUGGCCCCUGGGGGUGCCCGCAGCUCCCACGGGUCCCCCCACCCACCGGCCGCCCACACGCGUCGGGCCCCGGCAGCGCCCCUCCCGCCCCCGCCCCCGCGCGCCAGGAUGCGGUCGGCAGAGAAGCGGCCGCGAGUCAUGCUGGGCUUUCCAGAAAGCUCCUCGCAGAGGGCAUCGACGGGGCACAGUCUGGGCGCCGAGAAGCGGCUCAUCCUUCUCCCUCAGCCCCCGGGGAGCCCAAGGACACCUGCGCCCCAGCGUGCGGAGGGCCGCCGCGGUGUAGACAGCCCCCCCUCCCCCCCGGGGCUCCAGGGGCUGAGCUGCAGGGCGCCGCCGGGUGGGUCCCCUGCCUUCGCCCGCGCCCCGCACAAAGCCAAGACCCCGCCACCCCUUCCCAGGAACAGCCACGCGGCGGGGGGAGCCGCGCCCCCUCAGCCCCCGAGGGGGGGACACCUGCUGGGCGCUGGGCCGCCUCGCCCCGGAGCGCCCCCUCCCGGCCCCCGCGGCCCGCGCGUCCGCCGCCCGCACCUGCCCGCCCGCCCCGCCCGCCCCAGGAGCGCGCACCUCGCCGCACCCCUUCCGCGUUCCUCCUCCAAGAAGCAAAUGGGUGCAGAAUUCUGGAGGCCUAGGGGCCGGCCAGCGAGCAGGUUAGGGCUGAGUGUAGCUGCUCUGGCCCCCGGGAGUCUCCAGGAGCCUGGCUCCUGCCUGCUGGCCGCAUGCGGUGGUGCUGGGGUUCAUUGAGGCCAGAACCUGGGGGCCAGGCAUCCUACCCGCCAGCCCUACUGGGGUCUUGCCACCUCCCGAGGGCACCGUGUGAAGCCCUGUUCAGGGUCCUGCUGCUCCGGACACACGCUAUUUUCCUCCACCUUCUCAGGCCGUCACACCUCAUUUCCUGGCCUUCAAAAGCCACAUCUCUGCCCAUGCCCCUCAGGAUCCCUGACAUUGUCUCAGGAGGCUUAGUGCUAAGGCCUUCUGGAAGCUUCUGCUUUCCUCCCAGAGAAAAAGGAGGGGUGGACCGGAAGGGAGAAGGCAUGCAAAUCAACGUUGCAACAAGUUGUCCCACUGCGUAAGUAAUAAUAAUAAUGCUUACCUUCAAAGGCACUUUUCCCUCUGUCUAUCCCUGACAUGUUCCCAAAUUCCACCGUCUCCUCCCCUCCCGCCAUCCUCUUCUCCUGUACACACUCUGCCCGGAUGAUUGCACCCGGUCCAAGCUGCGGCCUUUCUCCAACCUUUUCCCUGUGCUUCCGAGCGCCCCACGAGGCUGUCCCCUGGACAUCACUUGUGUCCUCGGGUGAGCACACCCCACACUGAGCCCCCGAGCUAGGAACCUGGGAGCUCCUCGCCCCUUCCCUCUCCUCCCUGCCGUCUUUAGUCAAUAGUGAAGUGGAGCCAGGUCUACCUCCUACGCAGCUCUGUUUCUGAACCUUCCCAUCUCCAUUUGCUGAUUCAUCAAAUAUCUAAAAGUGAGUCGGCCUGGUUCUGGAUUGACACUUUUCAGUAGUGUGAUGGAUAAUUUGACGUAUCACCUUGGCUAGGCCUGUGGUACCCAGAUAGUUGGUCAGACAUUAUUCUAGAUGUUUCUGUGAAGGUAUUUUUCUUUUUCUUUUUUUAAGAUAUUUUUUUUUAAGAAGUCUCUCCAUCCAACGUGGAGCUAAUACUUGCAAGCCUGAGAUCCAGUCGCACAUCCUACUGACUGAGCCACCGGGUGCCCCUCUGUGAAGGUAUUCUUAAAUGAGAUUAACAUUUUUACAUGGGGCGGUAGACUCUGAGUAAAAAAGAUUCUCCUCCAUAAUGUGGGUGGGCCUCAGCCGGUCGGUUGAAGGCCUUCUUCAUAUAAAGAAGAGACUGACCCCCUCCGAUGAAGAAGGAAUUCUGCAAGCAGGCGGCCUUUGGACUCGAACUGCAGUCUUCUCUGGGUCUCCAGCGUGUCAGGCCACCCUGCAGAUUUGGGACUUAUCAGUAUUUCCAAUAGCAUGAAACAAUCCCUUAGAAGAAGUCUCCUCCUCCCCCACCUCUGUCUCUCUGUCUCAUGUACGUAUAUCCUAUUGAUUCUGUUUCUCUGAAGAACCUCAACUAAUACAGGUAGCCUCUCUUCAGUUUCCCCAUAGAAAUCUUAAAUCUGGGCAGCCUGCGACCCAGGGCGUGAUCCUGGGGACCGGGGAUUGAGUCCCUGUAGGGCUCCUUGCAUGGAGCCUGCUUCUCCCUCUGGCUGUGUCUCUGCCUCUCUCACUCUCUCUGUGUCUCUCAUGAAUAAAUAAAUAAAAUCUUAAAAAAAAAAAAAGGAAGAAAUCUUAAAUCUUAGCUAGCCCGCCCAGCUCUUCAGUGGACCUAGCUCAUGUAGUGCUUUCAUACAAAUGAGAGAAAGUCACUGCCUCUAGGCGUGACCCGGGCAUACAGUGUGGUGGGUGGAACACAAGUGAGUCCUGGGUGGACAGUGCACAACCUGGACAACCAUACAGAGCUGCCCCGCUUCCUGACGAGCCUCUGCCUGCCACUUAGGCCUUGUCUUUCUUUGUUUCCACUCUUUUUCCUCCUCAGCAUCCUACACUCCAAAUCCCCUGCAGCUCCUAGAACCUACCGUGCUGCUUUUGUAUAUAUCCCGUCAUCACUGCCUCAGGAGCUUCCUUGUUCCCAAAUUCCACCGUCUCCUCCCCUCCCGCCAUCCUCUUCUCCUGUACACACUCUGCCCGGAUGAUUGCACCCGCUCCAAACACCUUCCAAAUUCCCGGCACUGCCUUCCGCGGCUUUGCCACCCUCAGUCUGGCCCACCUUCCCUUUCCCUCUCUCUCCCUCCCUCGGCCCUGGGUUCUAGCCCUUACUUACUUCCCUGAUCCUAUUCCUGUUCGUUUACUCGCCUCAAUGGGGGAAUCAUCCAGGGGAGAGUUUGAACCGCGAUCCACCGUGCUCAGCACUAGUAGGUGCUCGGUACAUUCCAGCACAGAUGAAAGCAGGGACGCGGGUCUGCGACUGAGGAUGGCUGCAGGGAAGGAGGGAGCGGGACAGUACGAGGCGCUGACCGGGAGUGGGCUGGGGCGGGGAGAAUGAUGGGGGGAUGAUGGGGGGAUGAUGGAGGGGG